rnacentral:misc_RNA from 1 species
GGGUAAAUGAUGAUUGUUUUUCUCUGUAGGCUUUGUAGAGUUCUGGUAAAAUUGUGGGGAGAAUGUACGACAAUUGGUUUUCUUUUCGUGGUAAUUUGGUUCUAGUAAUUAUAUCAUGGAGUGGAAAUCUGUGGUUGUAUUUGGUUUUAUUUAAAUUUCGAUUUAGUUACUUUUCUGCUCAUGAUAACUGAUUGUAAAUUUGGUAGGAAUUAGUUUGAAUGUAGACAAACACCAGAGUUUAUGGGUGGAGGCAUUUUGAUAUGGUAAAUUCCUUAGAACAUUCUUGCAUUUGGGGGGUUCUGAAUGAUGAAGUAGCUCACAAAGUACAUUGAGAUGAAGAUGUUUGUAGAUGAAC